UAACUCUGCUUGCGAGAGCAGAUUGAACGUACAGAAGUCAGCAGAAGCCAUAGUGCGUGCGUGGC
rnacentral:ncRNA from 1 species